GAAGGGUGCAAGCGUUAUUCGGAAUUAUUGGGCGUAAAGGGUGUGUAGACGGCAUGUUAAGUCAACUGUUAAAUUUUUCGGCCUAACCGAAAGCCUGCAGUAGAUACUGGCAUACUAGAGGGUGGAAGAGAGAAGUGGAAUUCUCGGAGUAGCGGUAAAAUGCGUAGAUCUCGAGAGGAACACCGAUGGCGAAGGCAGCUUCUUGGUCCACUCCUGACGUUGAGACACGAAAGCGUGGGGAGCAAACAGGAUUAGAUACCCUGGUAGUCCACGCUGUAAACGAUGAUCACUAGACGUCAGCUCUGUUUUACGGAGUUGGUGUCGUAGCUAACGCGCUAAGUGAUCCGCCUGGGACUACGGUCGCAAGACUA
rnacentral:rRNA from 1 species